AAAAAUUAAUAAUUGGCAUGCAAAAAUACUUCUAUGUAGCAUGGCAAGUUAAAAGGUAAAUUAAACAUGGUGUAGAAAAAUUAAUAAUUUGCCAUGGUGUAGAAAAAUUAACCUUUUAUUUUUGUCACUAAUGGCAAACAUACUUCUAUGUAGCAUGGCAAGUUAAAAGGUAAAUUAAACAUGGCAAAUAAAAAGUAAAACUUACCAUGGCAAUAAAAGUUAAAUGUUUCCAUGGAGAUUUAGGUAAAUUUGCCAUGUUAAUGAGGUAUAUUAGCCAUGGCAAAUAAAUAGUAAAACUUGCCAUGGCAAUAAAUGUUUGAUAUUGCCAUGGGGAUUUAGAUAAAUUUGCCAUGUUAAUAAAAGGUAAAUUUGCCAAGGCAAAAAAAUAGUAAACUUGGCAUGGCAAUAAAAAUUAAAAAAAUUGCCAUGGGGGUUUAGCUAAAUUCGCCAUGUUAAUAAAGGUGAAAUAAUUAGUAAAACUUGCCGUGGCAAUAUUUUGCCAUUUUGCGUUGUUUUUGACAAUUUAAAGAAUUACAGCGGCAAUUUUAAAAAAUCAAAAGUUGCCAUCGCAAGAAAGCAAUAAAUUUGCCAUUAUUCGAGAACUAAAUUGCCAUGACCAAUAAACUAAAAUUUUAAAGUUUAGAUGGCAAAAAGUAUAAGAUUAGUUGCCAUGGUGUACCCAAAAAAUGCUAUGGUAAAAGACAGUAAAUUUGUGUUAUGAUCCAAAAUCAAAAGUUGUCAUGGUAAGAAAUGCAAUAAAUCUGUAAUGUACCCUAAAAGAAAAGACACAAGCAUGGCAAUUAAGUUUCCAUGGGGACAUAUCCAAAAUCAAAAGUUGCCAUGGCAAGAAUGCAAUAAAUCUGUAAAUGUACCCUAAAAGAAAAGACACAAGCAUGGCAAUUAAGUUUCGACGGGGACAUAUCCAAAAUAAAAAGUUGCCAUGGCAAGAAUGCAAUAAAUCUGUAAAUGUACCCUAAAAGAAAAGACACAAGCAUGGCAAUUAAGUUUCGAUGGGGACAUAUUAACACAUGUAAAAUCUGAGCUUCGAUGGCAAAAAACAUAAUUUGAUUGUCAUGAACUAUACAUUUUUGGGGUGUCCAUGAACUAUAGUGUCCUAGAAUUGCCAAGGAAAUCUAGUCCAUUAGCAUCUCAUCACUUGCAAGAAAGUGCCUGCACAAAUAACUACACAAUGCUAAAUGGCGACAUCUACAAAAAUUUGCAAACAAAAAGGUGGGGGAGCUAGUGAAAACAUGGCGACAUCUACAAAGAAAUCGUCACGAUUUAUUGAGAAGAACAUCUAUAAAUUGCCAUGGAAAAAAAGUACUACUCAAAGCUUCAGGGACAUGGUAAAAACAUAUGCCAUGGCAAUGUAAAACAGUAUUUCGACAUGGCAACAUACUUUGUGUUUUCCAUGCAACAUACUAUGAUGAUUGCCAUGGUAAAAAAAUAAUUUAAAUUGGGAUGGCAGCAAAAGUUGGGCUGACAUGGCAACAUAUUUUGUGUUUGCAUGGCAAAAAACAUAUUUUGACAUGCCAUCAACUAUAAUUUCAAAAAAAGAUUGGCAUGCAAUAUUUGUCAAUUAGCAUCACAACAAAAAGUAAAACAGUUUCUGCAAAUUCAUGAAGGACUGAGAAAAAAUGAAUUACACAAAUUUUGCAACAUACGAAGUGGGCUAAAUCACCAUAUGUGCUAAGCUAGUGGCAUACAACUGAACCUGUUUAGGAAGAAUAUCUUCAACUGACGGCGUCCGAGCGGCCGGAGAAGAUGAUGAGCAUAUGUCCGUUGCCCAUGGGCAGGGUAUGGUCGCUGUGCUAGGAGAAGAUGACGCCGUGGAGGGCGCCGUGGCGCAGGAUGGCGUCGUCGUCUCCGGGCGGCCGCGCAUCCGACGAGGUCGGCGGGAGAAGCCGUCGCCGUGGAGGGCGCCGCGGCGCAGGAUGCCGUCAUCGCUUCCGGGCGGCCGCGCAUCAGGCGAGGUCGGCGGGAGAAGCCGGCGCCGUGGCGGCCGCUGCGACUCGCUCAAGCCGCCCUCUUUCGGAUCUCCACCGUUCGCCGUCGUCUCGUGCUCACCGCCGAAGGGUCCGGCCUCCCCUGCCUCGCCUGCCCGCCAGCGUCCCCAACCUCCAGCACGGGUGGGCGUUGACCCAGCGCUAGCCCCGCUCGCUUGCCUCAUCUCGUGCGCGUGGACGCAAGCGUCCUCGAGGCCCAGCUCCCGCCCCAGCCUCCGCCGUGCGACGCCAUGGUUUGGCCGGCCGUCUUCUAAUCCGGCGACGAAAAGGGAGAGUGGGGGAGUGGUGUCGAGUGGGAGGGGAAUGGAGCUGCGAGUGGAUAAGUGGUGAAACUCGUUCGGGCGACCCAACAUCAUCCCGAACGCUAUGCUUGUGAUGACGUGGCGUGGGAU
rnacentral:rRNA from 1 species